rnacentral:rRNA from 1 species
CCAAUAGCGUAUAUUAAAGUUGUUGCAGUUAAAAAGCUCGUAGUUGAACCUUAGGCCCGUGCGGGUGGUCCGUCCUCUGGGCGAGCACUGCCUCGUCGCGGGUCUCACCUUCUGGCGAGCGUGGAUGCCAUUCACUUGGUGUCUGCGGGAACCAGGACCUUUACCUUGAAAAAAUUAGAGUGCUCAAAGCGGGCUCGUACGCUUGAAUACAUUAGCAUGGAAUAAUGAAAUAGGACGACGGUUCUAUUUUGUUGGUUUCCGGGACAGUCGUAAUGAUUAAUAGGGAUAGUUGGGGGCAUUCGUAUUCAAUUGUCAGAGGUGAAAUUCUUGGAUUUAUUGAAGACGGACUACUGCGAAAGCAUUUGCCAAGGAUGUUUUCAUUAAUCAAGAACGAAAGUUGGGGGAUCGAAGACGAUCAGAUACCGUCGUAGUCUCAACCAUAAACUAUGCCGACUGGGAAUCGGGCGAUGUUAUUUUUCGUGACUCGCUCGGCGCCCCGAG